GCGAGGGUAUCUAAGCCUGGCCAACGGAGCCGGACUUAAGAUCCGGUCUCGCAGGAGUCCGUGGGUUCAAAUCCCACCCCUCGCA
rnacentral:tRNA from 1 species